rnacentral:rRNA from 1 species
AUUGAACGCUGGCGGAAUGCUUUACACAUGCAAGUCGAACGGCAGCACGGACUUCGGUCUGGUGGCGAGUGGCGAACGGGUGAGUAAUAUACCGGAACGUAUCCAAUAAUGGGGGAUAACUAAUCGAAAGGUUGGCUAAUACCGCAUACGUCCUACGGGAGAAAGCUAGGGACCUUCGGGCCUGGCGUUAAUGGAGCGGCCGAUAUCGGAUUAGCUAGUUGGUGAGGUAAAGGCUCACCAAGGCGACGAUCCGUAGCUGGUCUGAGAGGACGACCAGCCACACUGGAACUGGGACACGGUCCAGACUCCUACGGGAGGCAGCAGUGGGGAAUUUUGGACAAUGGGCGAAAGCCUGAUCCAGCCAUUCCGCGUGAGUGAAGAAGGCCUUCGGGUUGUAAAGCUCUUUCGCAAGAGAAGAAAACUUACCCUCUAACAUAGGGUGAGGUUGACGGUAUCUUGAUAAGAAGCACCGGCUAACUACGUGCCAGCCGCCGCAGUAA